rnacentral:rRNA from 1 species
UGGGGAAUAUUGGACAAUGGGCGAAAGCCUGAUCCAGCCAUGCCGCGUGAGUGACGAAGGCCUUAGGGUUGUAAAACUCUUUCGUCGGGGACGAUAAUGACGGUACCCGAAGAAGAAGCUCCGGCUAACUUCGUGCCAGCAGCCGCGGUAAUACGAAGGGAGCUAGCGUUGUUCGGAAUCACUGGGCGUAAAGCGCACGUAGGCGGAUAGUUAAGUCAGGGGUGAAAUCCUGGGGCUCAACCCCAGAACUGCCUUUGAUACUGGCUGUCUCGAGGUCGAGAGAGGUUGGUGGAAUUCCUAGUGUAGAGGUGAAAUUCGUAGAUAUUAGGAAGAACACCAGUGGCGAAGGCGGCCAACUGGCUCGAUACUGACGCUCAUGCACGAAAGCGUGGGGAGCAAACAGGAUUAGAUACCCAGGUAGUCCCUGAGCGGGCUGGCAAGGCGCAU